UUGAUGACUAUUCCAGUAAAAAAAAAAAAAAAAAAAGUCUUGGACUAAAGAUUUUCAGGAGAUAAUUCAGUACAAUGUGUACAAGGCAUUAUGAACUAACAACAUGACUAAAGAAAGAAUUUUGUACAGUAAACAUGAAACAUGUUUUAUUUAUCUGAUCAAAAGUACAGUAUAUUGUGCUUUUUUUGUGAAUUGUUGGCCUUCUGAAAAGUAUGUUCUUUAACUGUACUCAAUACUUGGUAUGGGCUCCUUUUGCUUAGUGCUUCUGGUGAAAAGAAGCUAAAACAAGCCCACAUAUGCAAUACAGCUUCUCUCUCAGUGAGCAUUAAAUUUACAUCCUUUCUCUGUGUCCAGUGUACUUUCUGUUCUGGUAUGCAGUCCUAUUUAUAAGUGUCAUAAGCUUGCAGUAAUUAGAUAAUUAUUCUAUAGGCUAAACGAUAUGUGUCAGUCAUUUCUAUGAAUUCUGAUCAACUGUUCAUUGUGCAAUAACAGAAUCCCAAUUACCUUCUUUAUUUUGUUGCAGUUUUGCAUGUGACUAAUCCAGGAAGCCUUGCUGCAAGAGAGUUAACUGUUUUUGUUUUCCUUUGUCCUACAGCUCUUGUUCUUACAAACCACCUUUUCUCUAGUGUUACCUUCACCUAGUGAAUCCAUUUGCAAGAAAACCAACAGCUCUUUUAAGAGUUUCUUCUAUACUACUUGUGACUCACCCCCACUCCUCUCUCUCUUAAAAUUUCACUGUCCUAUGGUUCUUUAUUUUUCUUUCACCUAACUAUCUUUCACCUUACUCUCUUUCAGCCUGCCUAUUUGUUUUUCCUGACUUUCCCUUUAGCCUCCCUAUACCUCGUCCACAAUCCUUCUUUUUGUCUAUCCACUUUUUUUUUCUUCCUUUGCAAUAUAGGAUUGUUGAAAUGUCUGCUCAGCAAAACAGAGGGAAAGCAGAGGAUGCUAUUUUCCUCACAGACAUGCUUCUUUCUCAAAAAAAAGGCAAAGGAAGCCAAGGGCAAAGCAACAUCCGCCUGUAAUAAAUGUAAUGUCCGAUGGGUGGAGAAAGAUGCUGAAGGACGCCCACUGCUUAAAAGAAGCAGAAGUGGAGAGACACGAAAACGAGCUUCAGCUACAGUAGUUGUCAGUGAGGAUGUUACUACUUUUGAGUCAGCUACGGAGGUUCCCACAGUUACCCAAUCAAACGGCUCUGAAUAUUUAUUUG